CCAAUAGCGUAUAUUAAAGUUGUUGCAGUUAAAAAGCUCGUAGUUGAAUCUCGGGGUUAGUAGGCUGGUCAUGCCUCUGGUACGUACUGGUCUCACUGCUUCCUCCUUCCUGAUGAACCGUAAUGCCAUUAAUUUGGUGUUGCGGGGGAUUUGGACUGUUACUUUGAAAAAAUUAGAGUGUUUAAAGCAGGCUAACGCUUGAAUACAUUAGCAUGGAAAAAUGAAAUAGGACGUUCGAUCCUAUUUUGUUGGUUUCUAGGAUUGACGUAAUGAUUAAUAGGGAUAGUUGGGGGCAUUAGUAUUCAAUUGUCAGAGGUGAAAUUCUUGGAUUUAUUGAAGACUAACUACUGCGAAAGCAUUUGCCAAGGAUGUUUUCAUUAAUCAAGAACGAAAGUUAGGGGAUCGAAGACGAUCAGAUACCGUCGUAGUCUUAACCAUAAACUAUGCCGACUAGGGAUCGGAUGAUGUUAAUUUUUUAAUGACUCAUUCGGCGCCUUACG
rnacentral:rRNA from 1 species